GAUGAACGCUGGCGGCGUGCUUAACACAUGCAAGUCGAACGAUGAAGCCCAGCUUGCUGGGUGGAUUAGUGGCGAACGGGUGAGUAACACGUGAGUAACCUGCCCUUGACUCUGGGAUAAGCGCUGGAAACGGCGUCUAAUACCGGAUACGAGCUCCCACCGCAUGGUGAGUUGCUGGAAAGAAUUUCGGUCAAGGAUGGACUCGCGGCCUAUCAGGUAGUUGGUGAGGUAUCGGCGCACCAAGCCGACGACGGGUAGCCGGCCUGAGAGGGUGACCGGCCACACUGGGACUGAGACACGGCCCAGACUCCUACGGGAGGCAGCAGUGGGGAAUAUUGCACAAUGGGCGCAAGCCUGAUGCAGCAACGCCGCGUGAGGGACGAAGGCCUUCGGGUCGUAAACCUCUUUUAGCAGGGAAGAAGCGAAAGUGACGGUACCUGCAGAAAAAGCACCGGCUAACUACGUG
rnacentral:rRNA from 1 species